GCCGCCGUGCGCCGGUGAAUCCACCGCGGCCGCCGUCCGCCCUUCCGCUCCACGCUCGCCGCGGCCCCCGUCACGGUCCACGCCGGGAUGUGGUGCCCGAUGAGCGGUGGUGGCGCGCGCGAGCUGCCCAAGAAGGUGACCUUCAUCUCCGCGUACAGGAUCGUGCCUCCUCCGGUCUGCCGUGCGGAGGGCUAUAACGAGGGGCUGAGCGUGCGUCGCCGCCACGGUGCCUGCCGCGGCGCGUGCUCGCCAAAUCCGGUGGGGGAAGACGGCGCAGCAGUUGAGCUGGCGGCCGGGGGGUGGGCUCACUCUUCCAAUGCCGUUUUCAGCGAUUCCAUGUGCAAUGUUGCAAUGGCGGCGCCGGCAAUGACGUGUUAUUGGAGUGCAGCGGCCAGUAGGGUUCGAUCCUGCAUUCCUGCCCCUAGCAGCGAUGCUAGACCAGGUGUUCGUGGCGAUGUCCACCAGCGCCGGGCGGUGGUCCGCGCUGUUCUGUCCUUGUUACAUGAGAUCGACGCGCUUGUCUGACUCGAGGUAUGGACUCGUUCUUUGGCUAUAUGGAAUAGUGUACUUAACUGUUAUUUUGUUGGGCAAAGCUCACCCCCUGACUGUGCUGCAGAUUGAGAGGAAAUGUAGGUUAGCUGUUCGAGCUAAUGCUUGAGUAGCCGUCAGUAUAUUUGUUGAUUAGAUGUUGUCUUCCUAAUUGAAAAUUUCAACUAACAUGAAUUCUGACUACUAAUUUGGACAGAUGAUUUUGCCAGUGCCCUUCUUCAUGGCGGGCAUCAGUGAGAUUGCUCUUGUUGCUUGCAGCAUUAUGAUAAAUCAAUGGUGUGUUCAAAGUUCGCAUCUUUCUGAAAUUUGUUGUGCUACUACUUCUUAUCUAAAGAAACUUUUGAAAGUCAGUACAAGAAUAGUUCUUACUGGAUGGCUUUGUAAUAUCAUUGAAGAGGAUGUCAAGCACUUCCAUUCUGUAUAUCUCCUUCACUUGGUCAAAACAUAAAUAUAAGUCCAAUUAUGCUUUAUAUUUUUUUUUGUUUGAAAGUAGCAUGUUCAAGGUGACAUUUCUUUAGUUCCUAUGUGUGUUUGUUGAAUGUGAACAUAUCAGGUGCAAACCAACCCCUCCGUGCAAACCAUGCAAACUUUAACCUGGGCCAUCGGAUCAACAUCCAAGGGGAGGAGCGCAGGAGGUGGGAGGGGGGAUUUGCAAAAGUGUGAUUACCCAAUCCAAGGGCGGACGGUUAAUUGUAAAAUUACCCAAUCCCCCAUGUCCUUGGAUGUUGAUCCGGUGGUCCAGAUUGAAGUUUGCACGGUUUGCACGGAAAGGUUAGUUUGCACCUGAUAUAUUCCCUUGUUGGAUAACUCAUUUGUGUUCUAUUAUUGGACCCUUACAGGUUUAGAAACAAUUAUGUGAUAAAUUUGAUCCUAUAUUUAAGAAAAUGAUGCAGUGACUACUUUUAUAUCAAGGUUAGUUUGUUCAGCUGUUCAUAUUAUGUUAUUGACUAUCGUAAUAUUUUUAAUUGUCAAUUUUCUUGUUGCUGACACAUGGCAAGUCUCAUGGUUGUGUUGAUCCAGACAUCUGAAAAGCACUAUUAUGUUGGCCUUCUAAUUGAGUGUUGUGCACUAGAUAGCUAUCAUGCUUGUCUGGUUGCAAGAUGAAGUCGUGGAGAUGAUUAUUCAUGUUUGACUGCAGCAUCAUAGUGAACGACAUGGGAGGGGUGGAAUUCUUUUGAUGAUCAGUAUUAUUAGAAAAUUCUCCUUCUGUUUGCUACAGUAAAGCUCACACCAUCUCGCGGUGGGCUGGAGGUGCUGGUCAUGGGUUCCGGUGGCUCUGUGGCCACCUGCCACGGUAGCAGAGGGGUUGUGCCUGAUGCCGCGAUGCCACACUUCACUGGUUCUAUGUCCGCACCCUGAAGCAUGAGGUAAUCCUCUAUUAUGCUUCUCGAACUAGCCUUGGAAUGUUAGUUGUGAUGAGGAUUUUGUGGGUGAGUUUUCUGUUUGUUACCCAGUUGUUAUGCUUGAGAAAAAUGCAUGAGAAUUAUGUAGACAAAUAAUGCACGAUUGAUUCUUAGUAUCUUCAUAAAAAGCAUAUUCCAGAUUAUGUUUUUCUAAAAAGAAUGGGCAGACGCAAUAUAUUAGCUUGGCUGUCACAAGGUGCAUCCGCUGAAAUCAAUUAUGCUCUUAUCCUCCCAGUUAUUGUUGUACUCAAGAUACUUUGGGGAAAAUUUGAUGUAGCUCCAACAGUAAUUCCUGUGCUUAAAGAAUUUUUUUCUUUUUUUUUAGUGUGGUGGACGAAAGAAACAUUCUGAUUCGUUGCAAUGUGGACAACUUUUUUUGUUCCUUUUCUUGAAUAAUUCAAAUCAUCAGGCAAUGAGGGAUACUGAUAGCUGUGAGUUAGAUUGUGUACUUUUCAAAUUCUGUUAUUCCAUUUCUAAAUAUAGAGAGUGAAUGCUGUUGAAAUUUAAA